rnacentral:rRNA from 1 species
GAUUUCUGGCUUGGUGCGCCUGGCCCGCCACGGUUACGUGUGUGAGUGCUGGGUCGCGCCUGCCAUCCUUCUAGAGAACAUUUCUACUCUUCAUUGAGCCGGAAGUGCAAUCUAGAUCUUUUACUUUGAAAAAAUUAGAGUGUUUAAAGCAGGCUUUUGCUAUGAAUACAUUAGCAUGGAAUAAUAAUUUAGGACUUUGGCCCUAUUUUGUUGGUUUCUAGGACUGAAGUAAUGAUUGAUAGGGAUAGUUGGGGGUGCUCGAAUUCAGCGGCCAGAGGUGAAAUUCUUGGAUUCGCUGAAGACGAACUCAUGCGAAAGCAUU